rnacentral:rRNA from 1 species
UAUGUAGGGGGCAAGCGUUGUCCGGAUUUAUUGGGCGUAAAGAGCGUGUAGGCGGCCAGACAAGUCUGCUGUGAAAACUCGAGGCUCAACCUCGAGCUGUCGGUGGAAACUGUCUGGCUAGAGUCCGGAAGAGGAGAGUGGAAUUCCUGGUGUAGCGGUGAAAUGCGCAGAUAUCAGGAAGAACACCUAUGGCGAAGGCAGCUCUCUGGGACGGUACUGACGCUGAGACGCGAAAGCGUGGGGAGCGAACAGG